rnacentral:rRNA from 1 species
GACGAACGCUGGCGGCGUGCUUAACACAUGCAAGUCGAACGGAAAGGCCCUGCUUGCAGGGUACUCGAGUGGCGAACGGGUGUGUAACACGUGGGUGAUCUGCCCUGCACUUCGGGAUAAGCCUGGGAAACUGGGUCUAAUACCGGAUAGGAGCCAUUUUUAGUGUGUGGGUUGGAAAGGUUUUUCGGUGUAGGAUGGGCUCGCGGCCUAUCCGCUUGUUGGUGGGGUAAUGGCCUACCAAGGCGGCGACGGGUAGCCGGCCUGGGAGGGGGGACGGCCAAAUUGGGACUGAGAUACGGCCCAGACUCCUACGGGAGGCAGCAGUGGGGAAUAUUGCACAAUGGGCGGAAGCCUGAUGCAGCGACGCCGCGUGGGGGAUGACGGCCUUCGGGUUGUAAACUCCUUUCGCUAGGGACGAAGCUUUUUGUGACGGUACCUAGAUAAGAAGCACCGGCUAACUACGUG